GGUGUUGUAGAGCUUUCUAGUCCGCAGCAUCUUAUGCGUGGGAGUAGUUUUUCUUGCAUAGGGCUUUCCUGUGUGUUUCUGUCUAAUGUUUCUUUGUCUGUUUGGGGCUGGAGCUGCCUCGCCUGUCGGCGUUAGCAACGGUAGCACGUAGAGUGCACGAGUGACGGACCAGAGCGGCGAUCGAUCGGCCUCCUCGUGCUCUGCUUUGUUUUCUGGCAGGCGCGGAGCGGCAUUCCCAGCGGGCCGAAGGGAGGCGGAAGAAGAAAGGGUUGUGCUGUGCGGAACAAUGUGCAACGAGGGUCCCUCUCACCCGGGAGGAGCACGGCGAGGCGAGCGUUUGUCCGAGAGAGGAAGCGGAGCUCGGUAUAGGGCCGUCGUCUUGUCGAUGCCGUCCCCGUUGCCCGCUCCUGUUCUUAUUUUACAGGCGUGUGGCACGCCUCGGCAUGGCAACACGUAGUCUGGCGGUCAGGAUGGGCGCGUGGCACAGGAAGUUGCGGAGAGGAGAAGGUGCUGCAUGGGCUUUUUCCAGGAAUGUUUGAGUGUUUGAGGUGAGCCAGAAUGGGUG